UACGAAGGGGGCUAGCGUUGCUCGGAAUUACUGGGCGUAAAGCGCACGUAGGCGGCUUUCUAAGUCGGGGGUGAAAUCCUGGAGCUCAACUCCAGAACUGCCUUCGAUACUGGAAAGCUCGAGUCCGGGAGAGGUGAGUGGAACUGCGAGUGUAGAGGUGAAAUUCGUAGAUAUUCGCAAGAACACCGGUGGCGAAGGCGGGUCUCUGGGCCGAUACUGACGCUGAGGAGCGAAAGCGUGGGGAGCGAACAGG
rnacentral:rRNA from 1 species